GUUGGAGCUGAAAGCAUUUCGCAAUGUCAACAUAUUUUAUGUUUUAUAAAAAUAUGUUUAGUGAUAGAAAUACUAACCAAUAAUAAAAUAUAUCUACAAUUUCUAUUGGAACAGAAUGUGUUGUGUUCGCGCGACAGCGCGACGUUUGUAAAUGUUCGGCAACUCGGGUGCCGUCGCCCGUACGCACCCCGCACCCGCACCUCUCAUAACAGUGCGGUACAUGACGGCACGCGGAGAUACGCUCGUUCGAUAUUGAGAAAAUUGUGCGCGCGCGCCCUUCGUUAUAUACUAAGUAAAGGGUUGAGUGUGAACCGGUGAAAAGGUGUAUGUGCCACCCAUCGCAGAGGAACACCGCUGCGACCGUGAUAGUGCCAGCAUCAGCCUCCAAGGAAAAGAAACUUCAAAAAAUCUUUCAAAUAUAUGCAUAAAGACAAUUUGAAGGUUUAUUUUAGUCUUGCAAUCUGAUAGUAAUAACGGAGCGUCGAUCAUAGUAGUUUUUUAUUUUACCACUAGUAAAAAAAUUUUUUUUGCUAAAAUGUAAUUGUCGCUACAUUUUCUCAUUCCUGUUUGGCGGUGUGUUCCGAAAUGCAAAACAUCUGGCGCAGUAUUUUAGUUAAGCCCAUGGACCGUAGCAGGAUCCGGACAGCGAUCUCCGCCAGUCAAUGGCGUUUCGCUCAAGGAACGUGCUUAAAUGUGGAGUAGUCUCUCGUGUGGGAUUUGAACAUCGACCAGUCGCGCAAUUUCGUGCGUUCGUCUUAUAUUAAUACGCCAUUAAUAACUCACCAUUUUCGUAUUACCUUCGACUAUUAACAAAGAAAAGCACUCUCGAAAACUCUAAGUUAAUUUAGUUUAUCGUAACGCAAUAGUUGGGGAGUGCUCUGAUGAAUUGUUUGAGAUGAUACCAUCUUCUCGUUUUUACCAUCGCACCGCCCGCCACCGAAGUAGAGUUCAUCCAUACUACCUGGAGCCACUGCGACCAUCUACAGUGCGUUUCCAGAGAUCUUUUUUGUCACGUACCAUCCGACUUUGAAAUGAGCUCCCGUCCACGGUGUUUCCCGAGCGCUAUGACACUUCUUCAAACAUGGCUUGUGGAGAGUACUUUACGGUAGGCAGCAGUUUGACUCUGACCUUGGCAUUGCUGAAGUCCAUGGGCGACGGUAAUCACUCACAAUCAAAUUGGCCGUAUGCUCGUCUGCCUACAAGGGCAAUAAAAAAAAAUUGAU